rnacentral:rRNA from 1 species
UAGGGAAUCUUCCGCAAUGGACGCAAGUCUGACGGAGCAACGACGCGUGAGUGAAGAAGGAUUUCGGUUCGUAAAACUCUGUUGUUAGAGAAGAACAGCGCAUAGAGUAACUGUUAUGCGUGUGACGGUAUCUAACUAGAAAGCCACGGCUAACUACGUGCCAGCAGCCGCGGUAAUACGUAGGUGGCAAGCGUUGUCCGGAUUUAUUGGGCGUAAAGCGAGCGCAGGCGGUCAAUUAAGUCUGAUGUGAAAGCCCCCGGCUCAACCGGGGAGGGUCAUUGGAAACUGGUUGACUUGAGUGCAGAAGAGGAGAGUGGAAUUCCAUGUGUGACGGUGAAAUGCGUAGAUAUAUGGAGGAACACCAGUGGCGAAGGCGACUCUCUGGUCUGUAACUGACGCUGAGGCUCGAAAGCGUGGGUAGCAAACAGG